UGGGGAAUAUUGCACAAUGGGCGCAAGCCUGAUGCAGCCAUGCCGCGUGUGUGAAGAAGGCCUUCGGGUUGUAAAGCACUUUCAGCGAGGAGGAAGGUGGUGAGCUUAAUACGCUCAUCAAUUGACGUUACUCGCAGAAGAAGCACCGGCUAACUCCGUGCCAGCAGCCGCGGUAAUACGGAGGGUGCAAGCGUUAAUCGGAAUUACUGGGCGUAAAGCGCAGCGCAGGCUGUUUCGUUGUNAGUCAGAUGCGUGAACUGCCCGGCAUCACUGGGAACUGCAUUUGAAACUGGCAAGCUAGAGUCUCGUAGAGGGGGGUAGAAUUCCAGGUGUAGCGGUGAAAUGCGUAGAGAUCUGGAGGAAUACCGGUGGCGAAGGCGGCCCCCCGGACGAAGACUGACGCUCAGGUGCGAAAGCGUGGGGAGCAAAACAGGAUUAGAUACCCUGGUAGUCCACGCUGUAAACGAUGUCGAUUUGGAGGUUGUGCCCUUGAGGCGUGGCUUCCGGAGCUAAACGCGUUAAAUCGACCGCCUGGGGAGUACGGCCGCAAGGUUAAAAACUCAAAUG
rnacentral:rRNA from 1 species